ACGGAGGGUGCAAGCGUUAUUCGGAAUUACUGGGCGUAAAGCGCGUGCAGGCGGGCGAGCAAGUCUGAUGUGAAAGCCCCGGGCUUAACCUGGGAAGGGCAUUGGAAACUGUUCGUCUUGAGUUCUGGAGAGGAAGGGGGAAUUCCCGGUGGCGGUGGUACAUGCGGACAGAGGGGGAGGAAUAGCAGUGGCGAAGGCGCCCAACAGGACGGGAACUGACACUAAGACGCGACAGCGUGGGGAGGAAGAAG
rnacentral:rRNA from 1 species